rnacentral:rRNA from 1 species
UACGUAGGGCGCAAGCGUUGUCCGGAAUUAUUGGGCGUAAAGAGCUCGUAGGCGGUUUGUCGCGUCUGUCGUGAAAGCUUGGGGCUUAACCCCAAGUCUGCGGUGGAUACGGGCAGACUAGAGGCAGGUAGGGGAGAACGGAAUUCCCGGUGUAGCGGUGAAAUGCGUAGAUAUCGGAAGGAACAUCAGUGGCGAAGGCGACUUCCUGGACCAAUACUGACGCUCAGGUGCGAAAGCGUGGGGAGCAAACAGG